rnacentral:rRNA from 1 species
UACGAAGGGGACUAGCGUUGUUCGGAAUUACUGGGCGUAAAGCGCACGUAGGCGGAUUUGUUAGUCAGGGGUGAAAUCCCGGGGCUCAACCUCGGAACUGCCUUUGAUACUGCAAAUCUCGAGUCCGAUAGAGGUGGGUGGAAUUCCUAGUGUAGAGGUGAAAUUCGUAGAUAUUAGGAAGAACACCAGUGGCGAAGGCGGCUCACUGGACUGGUAUUGACGCUGAGGUGCGAAAGCGUGGGGAGCAAACAGG